rnacentral:lncRNA from 1 species
CUUAAGCCUUUAGAUAGACACACUGGGAGAAGGAGGAAUUGCCCCACAGCAGCUAGUGUGGGGCAACUUUAACUUCCUUUGCUCCAAUUCAUCACAACAGAUUCAUAAUAGGAGAAAACCUGAAAAUUGUACCUCAUCAUAUUAAUCUCUGUUUGCCAUGCUCCAAAAAAUAAUUUUGAAGAAAUUAGCUUGUAUUUUAGGGUUUUCAGAAAAUCAGUUGGUUUUCAUUUCUGAUUUGAAGAUGAUUAGAUAGAUAAAUUGACUGACUUCCCCACCCUUCCCUAACCUAAGCACUUUCCAAUUUAGGUCUAAAUUAAUUUCUUGCACCUAUGUAUGACAGAAGGAAGCAGAGAUGCUGUAUAUACAUACACAUACACUAUCUUGCCUAGGUCCAAAUGAAAUGAAUGAUAGAAAAAGGUACACAUCCAAACUAACUGUGGGCCUUGCUGAAGUACUUUUUCCCGCAGAGAUAUCUGCAGUGGGGGGCAAGUGGGGCACAUCUCUUACCUUUUCUGUCCAAUUCGCCACCUUUCCAACUGCUUCCUUCAAUUAGUGCCCAGCCAAAUCCUUCAAACUGCAUUGUCCCUUAUCUAGAGGGAGAAAUUACUUUGCAAAGGAAAGGAAAGGAGGAAGAGAUAGAAAACAGAGAAGCUGUGAAGCUAUGCCCUACAGCUUCUAAAUGACACAUUUUCACAGCAAGCUGUCCAGGGCCAGGAGAAGACCCUGCUGAUAUCAAUGAAAAGAGAAACUUCAUUCCUUUUGUCUGCCAAGGACCUUUGGCCUUGGUUUAGGGAAACCACAUCCUGGAUGAUUUUGUGUGGUUUGGAAUUUGACGGGGAAGGAACACGCCUUUAAUGGUUAGAAAACACUCCUCCUCCUACUCAUUACAAAGGAAGACAUGACACUCUGGACUUCCCUGUGUUCCUCCUCAUCUGACAAGCACUUAAUUCACUGUGAACACAACCCCAUGACCUUCAAGGAAGCACAGAGUUAGUUCCCUGUUCAUCAGUUUUUAUCUCUGUCCUGCAGUCCAUGGGGGAGCAAAUCUGAGAACCUCGCAUCUUAGCUGUGUAAUCCAAGGAUUUGAGUGGGAAAAUAUUUCAGCUCUAAAACUAAGGUUUAAUGAUUUGUACUUCUCUUCAGUGCAUGGUGACUGAAAUAAGUUAAGUACAUGACAGAAGUGAAGAAGAUCCUCCCUUCAAACACCCACACACACACACACACACACAAGCACACACGUGUGCACAACAGUGAAGUGGAGCAUCUAGACCUUGUUCUUAUUCCCCUCUGCAUUUUCAUCUUUCUUACAUGCUUUCCUUCCUAACCAUGCAGUACUUUCACAGACACUUAUUUGGAUUUGCUUGAUGAACCAGGCAUUCUAACACCAGCUAGCUGACAGCUCCUACAUGCUGUCAUUAAAAGACUGUUGUCAUGAGAAUCAAGUAAAAAUAUGCUAAGGCAUCAUUGCGUUUUGUACAGAAAUUCCCAUACCUGUCUUUAAUAUUUUGAGGAUAAUUAAUUAAUUAUUACAGGGUAAUUUAAGCAGUAGAAAAAUGAAAGUUCUGAUUUCAGAUGUAUGACCUUAUUAUAGUACCUCCCCUACUCUACAACAUGUGUCUUGAUUUUUGAUUAGGAAAUUGUUUGCCAUGCUCAGAGCUUUUAUUUCUUAUGUAAGGGAUAUUAACACAUUGUUCACAAACUCAAAUUCUCAUAAGCUAAAUGUGUGUAUUUACGGGUAACCGGAAGCAGUCAGGAACAUGACAUGUGCUGAAUGGGAUCCAGGACUUUGCAUUUGACAUUCUUCCACCUGGAGUUCUCACUGCUCUCCAUCUCAAAGACUUUCCUCCAGGCAAAUCAAGAGCUACAGAAACUAAUACUACAUGAGGCGCUCAUUUUGAAAUAUGCUUUUAAGAUGAAGCUCUGCUACUACAAGUUGGGUGAUGCAGAACUGCCACUUAACUCUGCUGGUCCUCAGUUAUUGCAUCUUCAAAAUGAGGUUGUGGUAAUGUGAUUUUUCCAGAACUGUCCAGCUCUACCAAUCUUCUGGUCAUAUAAAUGGUUUGGCUGUUCAGAGCUGUCUAUUCCCAUUACCUUUCUGCAAGAAUUUUACACUUUUACAUAGGCUUGACUAAUCAUAACUGGGAAACUCAGUGAAGGUUGGGUAUGUGCAUUAGCCCAGACACAUACUGAACUUCAGGGUUCUCACUUCAAUUAAAAGGAUGGAGAAAUACAUCUGGCACAUAUAUCAAUACUUUACGUAGCCCCUACAUUGGAUGUUUUUUCUAAUUGUUUUUGCUAAUACUACCAAAAUAACAAAGUCUACUUUUAGAAUUCCUCCCAUUUCCUAACAUCAAUAAUCCUACGAAUCUGCAAAGGGUAACUGAACCUUUAAAAUUAUAGUCACACUGAGACUUAACCUCUUGCUAAAUUAUUUUGUCAAAAUGAAGACCAUCAGGGCAAGCACCAGGACACAGUUGGUGCCUAUGACCAUUUGAAUGCAUGCUCCUGGCAAUGGGGAAAUACUCUUCUUCAGUGAUGAGUGGCUACUGCUUGCACACACAUAAUGCAAACACACCAGAGGUGCUUUAUUCUUGAUCUCAAAAGAAAGACUUUCCCUUUGUUCUAAGUAAAACAGAGAGACACAUGAGUCAGAUUAAAAUUUAAGUAGAGUGGUAGCUAAUGGAAUAUUAUACUGGAAGUAUAUAUUUGGAAAUGAAAGAUCCUGAUGCUUCAAGGUCAGCCCCAAAGAGCAGAGACUCCAGGGCUUAGUGUUCUUUUCUGAGUGCAACAGUGGAUGUUCACUCUACAUUUCUAAUUGCUUAACUCAGGCUCUCCCAGUCCUAUGAGGAGAAGAUUGUCAAGGAGCAGAGAAAUAGCAAAGGCAACCAGGCAUGCAUAAAAACAUCAUUAUGUCCUUGAGCAGAGCUCAAUUUCUCUUAGAUCUGGGUUGUGUGGCUGCGUGCAGAGGGAAACAAAUGCGUGUAUGGGUAUACAGAUGUCUCGAAUGUGUUAUUCUUUUGCACAUUUGUAAGAGCUCUUUACUUAAGAACAACUUUGCUGGCACAUUACAGUCCAAAGGGAAUGUGGCUAACUAUAAAAUCUGUCACAAUAAAUGCUGGGAACUGAAAGAUAUGCUUGGUGAUUUUCUGGAAUGACUUUUCCAAAAAGCUUCCCAAGGAAUUAAACUUCCCAAAACUAAUCUUCUUCCUCCCAUGUUCAUGAGAGGAUAAUUGAUUAGUAAAUAUCCUCCUAACAACAUGACCAAUGUCUCAGGCCAUCUUUAUUAGCUAAAAUCUAUGAGCAGGUGAAAAAUUGUUUGCUAAUUUUUCUGUGUGCAGUGGUGCUACUGUGUGGUAAUAUGCAAGAGGUUCCCCUUUCUCCUUUCCCUUAACUUUUUUUUUUUUUUUUAAUGAGAAGACCAUAAUCUUCUAAGGAAAACUUUUUCUUUUUUUCCAUCCAGUACAUGGACCAUAAAAAUGUAAACCAUACUGUUAAAAGAUAUUACCGACUAAAAAUUACUAGAAUAACCAUUAAUAACUAGAAUAACUACCUUAAUUGUCUGCAAUGGAAAGCUCUGCUGAAUUCUGGACUAUUUUAAUCAAUCAACCAGCUUUUCAAAGUCCAAGACUAUAAAGUGAUUAACCUGCUUCUCACUUUAUUAAGAAAAUUUAAGUAUGAAGGGGAAUGCCAGCUAUUCAUAGGCUCAGUCAACUUGCUAGGGUUUGUAUCAAACAUCAUUAUGAUUUUCUCAGAUGGAAAGAAUAGAAUCUAAUUUGGAAGUCAGUUUAUACUGUGUGAUUUGGGUCAAAUAAACAUAACUUACCCUGUAUUGCCGUCUAUAAGAUAGGGAUAAUAACAUUUAUCUUAGAGUUAUUGUAAGUAGAAAACAACAAGCAUUAAAUAAAAGAUAGUGACCAUCCCUUAGCUUUAACUUCUUCUUUGAGCUGAUACUGCCAUUUAAAGACAUAUCACAUCAUCUCAAAGAAAGACAAGAAAUAGAUCAGAAAGUAUGAGGUUUGGGGGCAUUAGCUCCCAUUCUCCUUGCAUGGCCCUGCAAUAGACUGUUUUCUGCUCCAAACUCUUGAUUUUUCUGUUUGUUUGGCCUCACUGUGCAUCGGACACAUGUAAUAGGAGUUAUACCAGGAUUACUAGCUUGGAAAACAAGAUGAGGCAAAUGAGAUGAAGAGAGGUUAAAGGACUGGCCUCUCGUCAUUCAGCUAAGAAUUGAAGGGCAAGGGUGGAAGCAGAGAUUUCUAACUGUGUUGACAAGCAGCCUUGGGAGAGUCUGUGCUGGAUGUGAUGAAAGCAGAAAACAGAAACCAUUAAAUGAAGUUCAGUAGUAGAAGUCACACUUUAGGAGGCGGAGCAAGAUGGCAGAGUAGUAAGAGGUCACGCUCACCUUCUCCCACAAACACAUCAAAAAAAUACAUCUACAUGUAAAACUACUUGCACAGAACAUCAACUGAAUGCUGGCAUAACUUAAACCUCCAAAAAGGGCAAGAAACUCUUGACAUAACUGGGUAGAACAAAAGGAAAAAAGAGAGAGAGAGAAAAGGAAUCAGGAUGGGACUAGCAUUCCCGAGAGGGAGCAGUGAAGGAGAAAAGGAACCCACACCCUGGGAAGCCACAUAACUGACGGAAAGAUUGGCCAAGUCGGCGGGACCUCAAAUUGCCAAGAAAAGUGCAGCAGCUGGACUGAGAACAGCAAAGCAGAGUGAGAGCCACACAGAUCACCUGAACCACUGGACUGGACAACAUAGCCUGAGAGGCUCAGGCAGGGGCUGGGUGCUGAGAUUCAAGCUCUGGAGGAUCCUGCAACUAGGAGCAACCUGUACAUCAGCUCAUAUGCGAGCUAAGUGAGAUGGGUUGAUUUAUGCAUGGUCUACAGGUGGCGGGGGCAAACCACCGCAGUUAUCACAGACUCUAGAGAUGGUCAUGGCCUGCUCCCACUAGGGGUCCCUGAACAGGCACCACCUAUGUUUCCAAUACCUCAGAGGAGGGCAUUGCUAUCGAACACUAGGUGUUGUUGCUCUCACCCCCGUGGGAAAUCACGGCAUAUGGAGUAGGAAAAAAAAUGUAUUGGGGAAGUAAUAAUUUAAAAUAAUCUAUGAAAGAGAAGAAAUAUAAUGUUAGUGAGUAUAACUCAUGGUCCAGUCAGUAAAACAUAAAUGCUCUGAAAAUUUCAAAUAGAGGUGAACUUAUACUCAAAAAUUGAUUACAAAUAUUUUGGCUGUGUGGAAGAGUAAAGGGGAGAAUGGUGGUACUUUAAAAAGUCCAAAAAUAAUGUAUUUACUGCGAGGUUGCCACAACUGCUGCUGGAGCCAGUGGUCAUUUGUCAUCCCCACUACUGCUUCCUGCUAGUUCCAGAUCCACUGAUGUUGCUGGAGGUCUUAGUCACUCACAGUCACUCGCACUUUCUGGCCUCAGCUCCUGCUGGAACCAAAAGCAGAAAGACUACCCCCUUUGCUGUUCUUGCAAUCUCACUGAAACACUUCCUGUUGGCAAAACUUAAUAGAAACCUGUCAGAAAAGGAGUUUGGGAAAUGCAAUUUCUAGGUAUCCAGAUCCCUCAAUACAGGGAAGAGCACAAAAGGGAAAGGGGAGCGGGCUGAGCAUGCGUAGACAUUAUCCAGAAGAAUAACAUUCCUGUUAGUUACUACUCUAGCAUCAGGAAGCAAACAAUAAUUCUAGUUUUAAAAUAAAGACUGUGUUUAUCUCUCCUCCAAAACUCCAUAGAAAUGCCAUAAAAGAUUCUAUGGAGCUGAAAACGAGACAGGAUUUGUGAUGGUUAAUUUUAUGUGUCAAUUUGAAUGGCCACAGGGUGCCCAGACGUUUAGUUAACCAAGACAAUCUUCUUUACUUGGUCUACAAAGACUUUUUACUUUGUAGACCUAGUGAAGAAGAUUGUCCUCCUUGAUGUGGGUGAACCCACUGAAGGCCUCAAUAGAACAGAAGACUGACUAAGAGAGAAUCCACUUUCUUUGCCUAUCUCCAAGCUGGGACAUUGGUCUUUCUGCCUUUGGAUUUUCAUUGGAACGUAUAUUAUUGGCUUUCCUGGUUCUCAGGGCUUUGGACCCAAACUGGAAUAUAUCACUGGUUCUUAUGGGUCUCCAGAUUGCUGACUACCAAUCUUGGCACUAAGCCUCAAAAAUCUCAUGAGCCAAUUCCUCAUAAUAAAUUAAUAGAUAAGUAUGGAAAUAGAUAUAGAUAUCUUAUUGGUUCUGCUUCUCCGGAGAACCUAGACUAAUAUAAGAUCCAUCGAGAGAUUAGAAAUUUUGCAGGAGCUCCCAUCAUGGCUCAGCAGAAAUGAAUCUGACUAGAAUCAGGAUGCAGGUUCACUCCCUGGCCUUGCUCAGUGGGUUAAGGAUACAGUGUUGCCGUGAGCUGUGUUGUAGGUUGUAGGCCAGGCUCAGAUUCCACAUUGCUGUGGGUGUGGCAUAGGCUGGCAGCUGCAGCUCCAAUUCGACAUCUAGCCUGGAAACCUCCAUAUGCCACUAAAAAGCCCUAAAAAGACCAAAAAAAAAAAAAAAAAAAGAAAAAGAAAAAG